AGUAAUGUCUGGGAAACUGCCUGAUGGAGGGGGAUAACUACUGGAAACGGUAGCUAAUACCGCAUAAUGUCGCAAGACCAAAGUGGGGGACCUUCGGGCCUCAUGCCAUCAGAUGUGCCCAGAUGGGAUUAGCUAGUAGGUGGGGUAACGGCUCACCUAGGCGACGAUCCCUAGCUGGUCUGAGAGGAUGACCAGCCACACUGGAACUGAGACACGGUCCAG
rnacentral:rRNA from 1 species